rnacentral:rRNA from 1 species
CGUCUGGCAGAGAUAACCGCUGAAAGCAUCUAAGCGGGAAACUUGCCUCAAGAUUAGAUCCCUCAUCCGUUAUGGAGUAAGACCGCUAGGAGACCACUAGCUUGAUAGGCGGCAAGUGUAAGUGCAGUAAUGUACUCAGCUAAGCCGUACUAAUGGUCGAGGGCUUACGAUA